CUGAAUUGUCAACAAGAGUUGUUGCUGGUCCUCAAACGGGGGCAUGUGCACGCUCUGUUCACACAUCCACUCACACCUGUGCACCCUCUGUAGUUCUAUGGUUGGUGGGGCCUGUCCUCCCACCAUGGUUCUGCGUCUUUAUCACACACACUGUAACAAAGUCUCAUGGAAUGUGUACCGCGUUUAACGCAAUACAAUA
rnacentral:misc_RNA from 1 species